rnacentral:rRNA from 1 species
CCUACGGGUGGCUGCAGUGGGGAAUAUUGGACAAUGGGCGAAAGCCUGAUCCAGCCAUGCCGCGUGUGUGAAGAAGGCCUUCGGGUUGUAAAGCACUUUCAGUGGGGAAGAAAGCCUUGGGGCUAAUACCCUCGAGGAAGGACAUCACCCACAGAAGAAGCACCGGCUAACUCCGUGCCAGCAGCCGCGGUAAUACGGAGGGUGCGAGCGUUAAUCGGAAUUACUGGGCGUAAAGCGCGCGUAGGCGGUCUGAUAAGCCGGUUGUGAAAGCCCCGGGCUCAACCUGGGAACGGCAUCCGGAACUGUCAGGCUAGAGUGCAGGAGAGGAAGGUAGAAUUCCCGGUGUAGCGGUGAAAUGCGUAGAGAUCGGGAGGAAUACCAGUGGCGAAGGCGGCCUUCUGGACUGACACUGACGCUGAGGUGCGAAAGCGUGGGUAGCAAACAGGAUUAGAUCCCCCGGUAGUC